rnacentral:rRNA from 1 species
UACGGAGGGUGCAAGCGUUGUUCGGAUUUAUUGGGCGUAAAGCGCGUGUAGGCGGUUUCUUAAGUCUGAUGUGAAAGCCCUGGGCUCAACCCAGGAAGUGCAUUGGAUACUGGGAAACUUGAAUACGGGAGAGGGUAGUGGAAUUCCUAGUGUAGGAGUGAAAUCCGUAGAUAUUAGGAGGAACACCGGUGGCGAAGGCGGCUACCUGGACCGAUAUUGACGCUGAGACGCGAAAGCGUGGGGAGCAACCAGG